rnacentral:rRNA from 1 species
AACGAACGCUGGCGGCAUGCCUAACACAUGCAAGUCGAACGAGACCUUCGGGUCUAGUGGCGCACGGGUGCGUAACGCGUGAGAACCUGCCCUUAGGUUCGGAAUAACUCCCCGAAAGGGGUGCUAAUACCGGAUAAUGUCUUCGGACCAAAGAUUUAUCGCCUUUGGAUGGGCCCGCGUUGGAUUAGCUAGUUGGUAGGGUAAAAGCCUACCAAGGCGACGAUCCAUAGCUGGUCUGAGAGGAUGAUCAGCCACACUGGGACUGAGACACGGCCCAGACUCCUACGGGAGGCAGCAGUGGGGAAUAUUGGACAAUGGGCGAAAGCCUGAUCCAGCAAUGCCGCGUGAGUGAUGAAGGCCUUAGGGUUGUAAAGCUCUUUUACCCGGGAUGAUAAUGACAGUACCGGGAGAAUAAGCUCCGGCUAACUCCGUG